UCAUAGUAAAUGCUUUUAGGUUGGGGCAAAAGUAGUUGCGGUUUUUUUUUUUCUCAUUACUUUUACUGCAAUUACUUUUGCACCAAACUAAAUAUAUAAGUAU
rnacentral:miRNA from 1 species